UGGAAGAGGGCAGGUUUGAAGGGACAAAAAAUUCUAAAUUUGGGCCCAACCUGUAAAACAAACACAAACACCUGCACUUAAGUGACUGGAACCCAUUUUACAUGACAACAGCACCAUCUCUGGGAUGAGUGAGGAACUUCACACACAGAGUGAGAGCAUUCAGUGACAAAAGAUCAGUGUCAUGUUAAGGUGUUGAGAAUACAGUUGAAGCUUUAAGAAUCUCACCUGUUUUGUAUUUCAAUACUUGGAACUAAUACUGAAAGUUUUAAUUUAUUUUUAACAAGUUUGAAUUGCUUUUCAAGAUUAUUCUCAGUGUUUUAACUUUGUUCUCAACAACUCAACUUGCUGAUUUGAUCUUUAAAUGUUAAAUGUUUAAAUUGAAUUUGAUUCUGGUGAGUUUUUGAAAUAUUGAAUUCCUGACAUUAUUUAGGACGUUGUGACAUUCUAACAACAUUCUCAACACAUAAGGUGUAUUUUUUAUAUUUGGGCAAUUUUCCUGUAUUCCAAGGUUUUCAAUUUGAUCCUCGAUAUUUCAAGGCUGAUUUCUGUGUUGUUAUCAGUUUGGACUUAUCCUCAAAACCUUGGCUCUUGACAUUUUUACUCUUAAUGAAGAUUUUUCAGAUUUACUUUUUAUAUUUUGACAUCGUUUUUCACAUUUUUUUUAAAUUACUUCAUGCUGUUCUCUUAAUUUCAUGUCUGCUAUUGGCCCUUUGAUGAUUCUCAGAUCCACAGUUAACCUGUGACAGAUAAUCUCUUUCAGCUAGAGAUAUCUUCAGAGGCCAGGGAUCUGAAUGUUUUUAUUGAACAGAACAAAAAAGUGGCACAGACUUCAUUUUUUUCUGCUGUGUUGACUGUCUGUGAGGUCCUUCAGAACUAAAGAUACACAGAUCCAGAUCAUAAAGGCUUAAUAACACUGACAGGAUUAAACAAAAAUUCAUUUAACCUGUAUCUGCACUCUAAGAUGAUGUGUGAGAGGACCUGACACUUUUGAACCUGUUUGAAAAUGCAGAUACUUUUAAACUAAUUCAAACCCAUAUAAUUUGAUAUUAGUGUCUUCUUCUGUGCUCUGCUUUUAUGAACUGUCUCCUGUCUCUGAUAAGGUAACAUUUACCUGGAUGCUCCAGUUUUAGUACUGGACCAGCACCAAUGGUACAGUGUUGCAUGGGAAGUGUUGACAGCAUCUUUUCCUCUUUUUUUUUUUUUUUUUUUACCAACAUAUUUUUUAUUGUCACACAUGGACAACAUAUUUGUUUGCAUUUCUCACAUUAGUUUGUAUUUAAACAAGUUCUGAAUAAAAAUAUUAAAAUCAA